rfam:Massilia sp. Root351 contig_12, whole genome shotgun sequence.
GGGUCGUUCGAGACCAGGACGUUGAUAGGCUGGGUGUGGAAGUGCAGUAAUGCAUUAAGCUAACCAGUACUAAUUGCCCGUAAGGCUUGUCCCU